rnacentral:rRNA from 1 species
UCGAGCGGAUGAAGGGAGCUUGCUCCUGGAUUCAGCGGCGGACGGGUAGUAAUGCCUAGGAAUCUGCCUGGUAGUGGGGGAUAACGUCCGGAAACGGGCGCUAAUACCGCAUACGUCCUGAGGGAGAAAGUGGGGGAUCUUCGGACCUCACGCUAUCAGAUGAGCCUAGGUCGGAUUAGCUAGUUGGUGGGGUAAAGGCCUACCAAGGCGACGAUCCGUAACUGGUCUGAGAGGAUGAUCAGUCACACUGGAACUGAGACACGGUCCAGACUCCUACGGGAGGCAGCAGUGGGGAAUAUUGGACAAUGGGCGAAAGCCUGAUCCAGCCAUGCCGCGUGUGUGAAGAAGGUCUUCGGAUUGUAAAGCACUUUAAGUUGGGAGGAAGGGCAGUAAGUUAAUACCUUGCUGUUUUGACGUUACCAACAGAAUAAGCACCGGCUAACUUCGUGCCAGCAGCCGCGGUAAUACGAAGGGUGCAAGCGUUAAUCGGAAUUACUGGGCGUAAAGCGCGCGUAGGUGGUUCAGCAAGUUGGAUGUGAAAUCCCCGGGCUC